AUUGAACGCUGGCGGCAGGCCUAACACAUGCAAGUCGAGCGGCAGCGGGAAAGUAGCUUGCUACUUUUGCCGGCGAGCGGCGGACGGGUGAGUAAUGCCUGGGAAAUUGCCCAGUCGAGGGGGAUAACAGUUGGAAACGACUGCUAAUACCGCAUACGCCCUACGGGGGAAAGCAGGGGACCUUCGGGCCUUGCGCGAUUGGAUAUGCCCAGGUGGGAUUAGCUAGUUGGUGAGGUAAUGGCUCACCAAGGCGACGAUCCCUAGCUGGUCUGAGAGGCAGAUGAGCCACACUGGAACUGAGACACGGUCGAGACUCCUACGGGCGGCAGCAGUGGGGAAUAUUGCACAAUGGGAGAAACCCUGAUGCAGCCAUGCCGCGUGUGUGAAGAAGGCCUUCGGGUUGUAAAGCACUUUCAGCGAGGAGGAAAGGUUGAUGCCUAAUACGUAUCAACUGUGACGUUACUCGCAGAAGAAGCACCGGCUAACUCCGUGCCAGCCGCCGCAGUAACAC
rnacentral:rRNA from 1 species